CCACCGGAGCCCUAUAAAUACCACCCGGAUGGAACUCCCGAGAGGAUGCGUUCCUUGUUCCGAUAGUACCCUCGUUCUUUCGCUUGAAUCCACUCUCUAUCCACAUUCAUGGCGAAGUCAGGUGGCCUCCCGCUCGGUUCUCCCGCUCCCCAUUUCGAGCUGCCUGAGCCACUGACGGACAAAGUAUGGAAACUGGAAGAUUUUGAGUCUCACUCUGGACUCCUGGUAAUGUUUCUUUGCAAUCACUGUCCAUUUGUGGUGCACCUGAAGAAAGACAUUGCGAGGUUAGCACGUGAUUAUAAGGAGAAGGGUGUUGCGGUUGUGGCAAUCUCUUCAAACUCAGAAGUGACUUACCCACAGGAUGGGCCCAAGUUCAUGGCGGAAGAUGCCAAGACAUUUGAUUACCCAUUUCCAUAUCUAUAUGAUAAGUCACAAGACAUUGCGCGGGCCUUUCAAGCUGUUUGCACACCAGAGUUCUUCUUGUUCAAAAAGGAUGUGGGAAAGCCUUUUGAUCUUUUCUACCAUGGGCGGUUUGAUGAGUCACGUCCUGGUAACAAUGUACCAGUCACAGGAAGUGACUUGAGCUUGGCAGUUGACUGUCUUCUGGGUGGCAGACCAUUUCCUAAUCCACAAAGGCCAAGUAUUGGAUGCAGCAUCAAGUGGCACCCAUGAAAUCUGUAGCUGAUGCGAUGCAGUAUCAAGUGGCCAUGAAAGCUGUAGCUGAUGUUCCAAACUUUUGGAUGACGCAAUAGCAUCUAUCUAGUUAGCUUCCCUCUGCUGUGGUAGAAGAAAAAUCGCACUGCAAAAUGCAACAUUUUUUUCUCGUUGGGUGAAUACAAGCCAUACAGCAGUAGAGAACGCGAGAGAGAAAGGGAGAGAGAGAUUUCAUUUGAGAUGAAAUAAUGCUGGUAUGCUGUUUAUCAAAUGGAGGGGAUAUCCGCUUGAAGGCUAAAACAGGUGGGGCCUACAGAAUAUUUUUCUGUUACUCAGACAUGAUAAAAAUCUUGAGAUAAGUUCUCUUGUUAGAUAGACAGUUUUUUCUUCUUUAGAAAGGACUUUUUAUAUCUCUUUUAAAGAACAGAAAGACUAGCUCAUGGAGCCAGAGAUCUGAGUGGGCAUUGGGUACUCAUGUCUUAAU